rnacentral:rRNA from 1 species
UACGUAGGGGUCCGAGCGUUGUCCGGAAUUACUGGGCGUAAAGCGCGCGCAGGCGGCCCGCGAGGUGUCACGUGAAAGCCCCGGGCUCAACCCGGGAGGGUCGUGGCAAACCGGCGGGCUUGAGGCCGGUAGAGGUGGGUGGAACUCCUGGUGGAGUGGUGAAAUGCGUAGAGAUCAGGAAGAACACCCGUGGCGAAGGCGGCCCACUGGGCCGGUACUGACGCUGAGGCGCGAAGGCGUGGGGAGCGAACGGG